CCUACGGGUGGCUGCAGUGGGGAAUAUUGCGCAAUGGGCGAAAGCCUGACGCAGCGACGCCGCGUGAGGGAUGAAGGUCUUCGGAUCGUAAACCUCUGUCAGCAGGGAAGAACGGUCACUGUGCUAAUCAGCAGUGAAUUGACGGUACCUGAAAAGGAAGCACCGGCUAACUCCGUGCCAGCAGCCGCGGUAAUACGGAGGGUGCGUGCUUUAAUCGGAAUGACUGGGCGGAAAGCGCUCGUAGGCGGUAUGUCCAGUCAAGGGUGAAAUCCCCGCGCUCAACGUGGGCACUGCCUUUGAAACUGGCGAACUUGAGUGUGUGAGAGGAGAGUGGAAU
rnacentral:rRNA from 1 species